rnacentral:rRNA from 1 species
CUGCCCAGAAGCGGGGGAUAACACCUGGAAACAGAUGCUAAUACCGCAUAACAACUUGGACCGCAUGGUCCGAGCUUGAAAGAUGGCUUCGGCUAUCACUUUUGGAUGGUCCCGCGGCGUAUUAGCUAGAUGGUGGGGUAACGGCUCACCAUGGCAAUGAUACGUAGCCGACCUGAGAGGGUAAUCGGCCACAUUGGGACUGAGACACGGCCCAAACUCCUACGGGAGGCAGCAGUAGGGAAUCUUCCACAAUGGACGAAAGUCUGAUGGAGCAACGCCGCGUGAGUGAAGAAGGGUUUCGGCUUGUAAAACUCUGUUGUUAAAGAAGAACAUAUCUGAGAGUAACUGUUCAGGUAUUGACGGUAUUUAACCAGAAAGCCACGGCUAACUACGUGCCAGCAGCCGCGGUAAUACGUAGGUGGCAAGCGUUGUCCGGAUUUAUUGGGCGUAAAGCGAGCGCAGGCGGUUUUUUAAGUCUGAUGUGAAAGCCUUCGGCUCAAUCCGAAGAAGUGCAUCGGAAACUGGGAAACUUGAGUGCAGAAGAGG